GUGGGGAAUAUUGCACAAUGGGGGAAACCCUGAUGCAGCGACGCCGCGUGAAGGAAGACGUAUUUCGGUAUGUAAACUUCUAUCAGCAAGGAAGAUGAUGACGGUACUUGACUAAGAAGCCCCGGCUAACUACGUGCCAGCAGCCGCGGUAAUACGUAGGGGGCAAGCGUUAUCCGGAUUUACUGGGUGUAAAGGGAGCGUAGGCGGCCAUGCAAGUCAGAAGUGAAAGCCCGGGGCUCAACCCCGGGACUGCUUUUGAAACUGUAGGGCUAGAUUGCCGGAGAGGUGAGCGGAAUUCCUAGUGUAGCGGUGAAAUGCGUAGAUAUUAGGAGGAACACCAGUGGCGAAGGCGGCUCACUGGACGGUAAAUGACGCUGAGGCUCGAAAGCGUGGGGAGCAAACAGG
rnacentral:rRNA from 1 species